rnacentral:snRNA from 1 species
UAAACCAUGAUCAUCUAGGUGGUUCUCCCAAAGUGAGGCCCUUCCAUUGCACUCCGGUUGGGUUGACCUUUGCGAUCGCCCCAAAUGUGGGCGACUCGGGUGCGCUAUUUCUAAGAGAUCUGCAGAGUGUCGUGAGGGAA